AAGAAGUACAGCCAUUUGAAAAUAAAAUCUUUUUACAAACAAGCUGAGGCAAAAGCAGAACACAAAUCGGAACAGUUUGUUUUUCAUCGCUUGGUUUUUCUGCCUGGCCCGUGUAUACCGGGUGUUAUAUCGUACCCUGAACAACUCUAGUAGUGCCUCGAUCUGAUGGGGCUCGCCAGUGGCGCUCGUGCCGAUUUCACGACGGAAUAUUUGGAUAACGAGGCGAAAUUAUAUAGCGAGUUAGCCCCACAGAAGAAGCAGUUGAGCAAGGCAAACUCAACUACCAUGCCACAUCAUUUCACCGAAGAAGCUACUUUCAACAUUUCAGCUCGGAGGUCAAGGCUGCCGCAUCUGGUGUUGGCUCGCUUCAGUAGUGCACUAUGGCACACGUAAGGGCGAUAUUUGGGCUACAUGGUGU
rnacentral:sRNA from 1 species